rnacentral:rRNA from 1 species
CUACGGGGUGCACCAGUGGGGAAUAUUGGACAAUGGGGGAAACCCUGAUCCAGCAAUGCCGCGUGUGUGAAGAAGGCCUGCGGGUUGUAAAGCACUUUCGGUUGGGAGGACUGCUUCUAGCACUAAUAUUGUUGGAAGUUGACGUUACCUUCAGAAGAAGCACCGGCUAACUCCGUGCCAGCAGCCGCGGUAAUACGGAGGGUGCAUGCGUUAAUCGGAAUUACUGGGCGUAAAGCGCGCGUAGGCGGCUAGAUCAGUCGGGUGUGAAAGCCCCGGGCUUAACCGGGGAACUGCAUCCGAUACUGGCUAGCUUGAGUACAGGAGAGGAGAGUGGAAUUCCACAUGUAGCGGUGAAAUGCGUAGAUAUGUGGAGGAACACCAAUGGCGAAGGCAGCUCUCUGGCCUGAUACUGACGCUGAGGUGCGAAAGCGUGGGGAGCAAACAGGAUUAGAUACCCCUGUAGUC